AGGAUUAUAGUUUAAUAAAACAUUUGAUUUGCAAUCAAAAAUUAUUGGUUUAAUCAAUUUAUCUU
rnacentral:tRNA from 1 species